CCGGGGUGGGGAAACAGACGUGCAACCGCCAUUUUGCGCAUUAAUUCACCAGAGGUCGGGUCAGGCUGUCUUAACGCAGGCAGAGGGGUGUUGCAGAUCUCCAACUGCUCGGAGUCCCGCGAUUUCCGUUAAUGAAUUCGCACACUGGCGUUACCACUCAACACACCGACGAUCUUAUGCAUUGCACAAAGUCAGAAUACUUGGUUGCAAGUGACAGA
rnacentral:lncRNA from 1 species